rnacentral:rRNA from 1 species
UGGGGAAUUUUGGACAAUGGGCGAAAGCCUGAUCCAGCAAUGCCGCGUGUGUGAAGAAGGCCUUCGGGUUGUAAAGCACUUUUGUCCGGAAAGAAAUCCUUGGCUCUAAUACAGUCGGGGGAUGACGGUACCGGAAGAAUAAGCACCGGCUAACUACGUGCCAGCAGCCGCGGUAAUACGUAGGGUGCAAGCGUUAAUCGGAAUUACUGGGCGUAAAGCGUGCGCAGGCGGUUCGCUAAGACCGAUGUGAAAUCCCGGGCUCAACCUGGGAACUGCAUUGGUGACUGGGCAGGCUAGAGUAUGGCAGAGGGGGGUUAGAAUUCCACGUGGUAGCAGUGAAAUGCGUAGAGAUGUGGAGGAAUACCGAUGGCGAAGGCAGCCCCUGGGCCAAGUACUGACGCUCAUGCACGAAAGCGUGGGGGAGCAAAACAGGAUUAGAUACCCUGGUAGUCCAGCGCCCUAAACGAUGUCAACUAGUUGUUGGGGAUUCAUUUCCUUAGUAACGUAGCUAACGCGUGAAGUUGACC